GGUUGGUAGCAAGGAUUCUUCUGUUCAUCUACUUCUUCACUCACAUGUUCAUCCACUUUGAUCAGGUGAAAAAGAUAUUUCCUUUGGGCUUCUAUAGCAUACUUUCAGUGGCUCCCAUAUUGGCAGUAAUGAAUACCAUUUGGUUUUGGAAGAUAGCAAAAGGUUUGAUUAAAACUCUUUCUAGAGCAAAAAGACACAGUCAAUGAUCUAACCAUUUUGUUCCACUGGUGGCCAUGCAUUUACUGUAUCAACCAUUUUGGUGUAAUGAUAAAAAUACUCCAUUUGUCACUUAGAAAUUACAAUUUGAAGCCACAAAAGCAGCCUCUCUGCAAAAUAAGGAUAAGGCUGCAUACAUCAACUUUCUUAAAAGCACACAAGUGUGAGAUGCUUCAUGCUCAGAGUAGCUAAUUACCAUGUUCAGUUCUGUAUAGACAAAUGUUGCUCCUGGUGCUUUGGAUUUGGUCGAUGCAACUGGUAAUGGUUAAAUUUUAAAAUUGAAUUAAAAUGAAUGAGCCAAUUGUCGUAAUGGUUAAAUCUAUAUAACAUAGGUUUGGAGAUUUGCUCAAUUCGUUCAAUGCAACUUGUAAAAAUCAACAAGUGAGUCAAG
rnacentral:misc_RNA from 1 species